rnacentral:rRNA from 1 species
GAUGAACGCUAGCUACAGGCUUAACAUAUGCAAGUCGAGGGGAAACGACAUCGAAAGCUUGCUUUUGAUGGGCGUCGACCGGCGCACGGGUGAGUAACGCGUAUCCAACCUGCCCACCACCUGGGGAUAACCUUGCGAAAGUAAGACUAAUACCCAAUGACGUCUCUAGAAGACAUCUGAAAGAGAUUAAAGAUUUAUCGGUGAUGGAUGGGGAUGCGUCUGAUUAGCUUGUUGGGGGGGUAACGGCCCACCAAGGCGACGAUCAGUAGGGGUUCUGAGAGGAAGGUCCCCCACAUUGGAACUGAGACACGGUCCAAACUCCUACGGGAGGCAGCAGUGAGGAAUAUUGGUCAAUGGGCGAGAGCCUGAACCAGCCAAGUAGCGUGCAGGAUGACGGCCCUAUGGGUUGUAAACUGCUUUUAUAAGGGAAUAAAGUGAGUCUCGUGAGACUUUUUGCAUGUACCUUAUGAAUAAGGACCGGCUAAUUCCGUGCCAGCCGCCGCGGUAA